GAUGAACGCUGGCGGCGUGCCUAAUACAUGCAAGUCGAGCGAACAGACGAGGAGCUUGCUCCUCUGACGUUAGCGGCGGACGGGUGAGUAACACGUGGAUAACCUACCUAUAAGACUGGGAUAACUUUGGGAAACCGGAGCUAAUACCGGAUAAUAUAUUGAACCGCAUGGUUCAAUAGUGAAAGACGGUUUUGCUGUCACUUAUAGAUGGAUCCGCGCCGCAUCAGCUAGUUGGUAAGGUAACGGCUUACCAAGGCGACGAUGCGUAGCCGACCUGAGAGGGUGAUCGGCCACACUGGAACUGAGACACGUUCCAGACUCCUACGGGAGGCAGCAGUAGGGAAUCUUCCGCAAUGGGCAAAAGCCUGACGGAGCAACGCCGCGUGAGUGAUGAAGGUCUUCGGAUCGUAAAACUCUGUUAUUAGGGAAGAACAAAUGUGUAAGUAACUAUGCACGUCUUGACGGUACCUAAUCAGAAAGCCACGGCUAACUACGUG
rnacentral:rRNA from 1 species